rnacentral:rRNA from 1 species
GAUGAACGCUGGCGGCGUGCCUAAUACAUGCAAGUCGAGCGAACAGACGAGGCUCUUGCUCCUCUGACGUUAGCGGCGGACGGGUGUGUAACACGUGGAUAACCUACCUAUAAGACUGGGAUCACUUCGAGACACCGGCGCUAAUACCGUAUAAUCUAUUGCACCGCAUUGGUCGAUAGUGAGAGACGGUGUUUCUGUCACUUAUAGAGGCAUCCGCGCCGCAUUAGCUAGUUGUUAAGUUAACGGCUUACCAAGGCAACGAUGCGUAGCCGAACUGAGAGGGUGAUCGGCCACACUGGAACUGAGACAGGGUCAAGAGUCCUAAGGGAGGCAGCAGUAGGGAAUCUGCCGCAAUGGGCGAAAGCCUGACGGAGCAACGCCGCGUGAGUGAUGAAGGUCUUCGGAUCGUAAAACUCUGUUAUUAGGGAAGAACAAAUGUGUACGUAAAUAUGCACGGCUUGACGGAACCGAAUCAGAAAGCACCGGCUAACUACGUG